UGGGGAAUAUUGCACAAUGGGCGAAAGCCUGAUGCAGCAACGCCGCGUGGGGGAUGACGGCCUUCGGGUUGUAAACCUCUUUUAGCAGGGAAGAAGCGAAAGUGACGGUACCUGCAGAAAAAGCACCGGCUAACUACGUGCCAGCAGCCGCGGUAAUACGUAGGGUGCAAGCGUUGUCCGGAAUUAUUGGGCGUAAAGAGCUCGUAGGCGGUUGGUCGCGUCUGCUGUGAAAACCCGAGGCUCAACCUCGGGCCUGCAGUGGGUACGGGCCGACUAGAGUGCGGUAGGGGAGAUCGGAAUUCCUGGUGUAGCGGUGGAAUGCGCAGAUAUCAGGAGGAACACCAAUGGCGAAGGCAGAUCUCUGGGCCGUAACUGACGCUGAGGAGCGAAAGCGUGGGGAGCGAACA
rnacentral:rRNA from 1 species